rnacentral:rRNA from 1 species
CAGCCGCCACGGUAAUACGUAGGUGGCGAGCGUUGUCCGGAACUAUUGGGCGUAAAGGGAGCGCAGGCGGACAUAUAAGUCCAUCUUAAAAGUGCGGGGCUCAACCCCGUGAGGGGAUGGAAACUGUAUGCCUUGAGUGCAGGAGAGGAAAGCGGAAUUCCCAGUGUAGCGGUGAAAUGCGUAGAUAUUGGGAGGAACACCAGUGGCGAAGGCGGCUUUCUGGACCGUAACUGACGCUGAGGCUCGAAAGCCAGGGGAGCGAACGGGAUUAGAUACCCGAGUAGUCCCUGUCUCUUAUACC